AUAUGGCGCUUCAAAAAGCGACGUCAUAUGAACUCUCUAUUAUAUCAAAUAAGGAUUUAAAUAUCAUGACAUGGGGUUGUGUUGGAAACUUGUCGAUACGGUAUGUGCCUAGUCAUGCAGAUGCGCGUCAGUUAUAAAAAAUGUAUGUGUACUGACACGUAAUAGAAUGAAAUAUUUAUUUUCUUUAGCAACAAAAUAUAUAUGCCAAUUAUUUAUUAUAUAUUUUUUAUCAAAUCUUUGAAACUUUAUUAAAAAAAUUACUUACUAAUUUCAAAAAUAGAGAAUUUUGAGUCGUGCCAUCGAUACGGGAGCUGCAUCGUGCUGAUAUCUUGCUGGCAUGAUAUGGAACGGUAAAUAUAGCCUGUGCUGAAUGGGCACUUUAAUUUUUGAUUUCAAACUAAUUUAUUAAAUAAGAAACUUCACUAUUAUUUUUAAUUUUUCGAGGCUUUAAAGCGUUAGGAUUUCAAAAAAUUUCUGAUUCUUUUAAGCGUUAGAAUAUAUUUUACUGACUCUUGACAUAAGCAUCGGUAUAUACGUGACGACUCUUCAUUCAUUGAUACUUUAACUAACACUCUCAAAUAUGAUGCUAGACUAAUACUUCUAAGCAUCGUUAAAUAUAAAAAAUUAAAUAUUAUUACUA
rnacentral:lncRNA from 1 species